AGCGAACGCUGGCGGCGUGCUUAACACAUGCAAGUCGAGUGCGCGCCUGUAGCAAUACAGGUGGCGCACGGCGCACGGGUGCGUAACACGUGGGCAAUCUGCCCUUCGAUGGGGAAUAACCUCGCGAAAGCGAGGCUAAUUCCGCAUAACAUUCCGGGGAUCUCGGUCCUUGGAUUCAAAGCCGCAAGGCGUCGGAGGAGGAGCCCGCGCACGAUUAGCAGUUGGUGAGGUAACGGCGUCACCAAGGCUUUGAUCGUUAGCUGGUCUGAGAGGAUGGCCAGCCACACUGGAACUGAGACACGGUCCAGACUCCUACGGGAGGCAGCAGUGGGAAUCUUGCACAAUGGGCGAAAGCCUGAUGCAGCGACGCCGCGU
rnacentral:rRNA from 1 species